rnacentral:rRNA from 1 species
UACAGAGGUCUCAAGCGUUGUUCGGAUUCAUUGGGCGUAAAGGGUGCGUAGGCGGCGCGGUAAGUCGGAUGUGAAAUCUCGGAGCUUAACUUCGAAACUGCAUUCGAUACUGCCGUGCUUGAGGACUGGAGAGGAGACUGGAAUUUACGGUGUAGCAGUGAAAUGCGUAGAUAUCGUAAGGAAGACCAGUGGCGAAGGCGGGUCUCGUGGACAGUUCCUGACACUGAGGCACGAAGGCCAGGGGAGCAAACGGG